AUCAGAUCAGUUUCCUGCUGGCAGGGCAGGCAGCAAUAUUGCCUGGUUGCAAGGCUUCAUGUAUCAUCUUGGAGGGAGUAACUGGAAUUUGCAUGCAUAUGAGAGAGAACCGUUACCUCUUCCUUUUUGACAGCUUUGUCUGAAGUAUCAUCGUAUGAGAAGGAUAAAGAAAUUAUUCUUGAUUUUUGUGUUGAAGUUGAUAAGACCUGUAGCCACAUCCCUCAGCAGAAGUCCAUGUCUGAAGGUGGAAAAAGCAAACAGCUCCCAAAUAUUUCGGCUGGACUACGAAUAGGACAAUAUGAUGCAGGAUCUCUCUUAUCCCCAUUUUUUAAUUUUAAUUUUUUAAAAUUGGGGCUGCUGUUUUCAUUCCAAUGGUUUGGCUAUCUUGUCUUCUAAAUAAUUAUAUGAAAAUUAUAUUAACACCUGUUAAUAAGGUCCUUGAAGAUUUCUGGGGGAAGAAAAUCAAGACCAGUGGCCUUUCCAUUUCUCAGUAAGGAUAUAUAUGAUCUUGAGAUUCAGAAAUGAGGUAGUGAUCUCCAUGCGGCGUAACAGAUAAAAUUUCCUUCAGCAAGAAGCCAUCAAUUCCUUCACCAUCUGCAAGUAAGACGUUAAACUUAUUUUUUUAAAAAACAAGACCCAUGCAUCUUCAGGAAUAUACACUUUGGAAAUUAAGCAGAUUCUUUUGUCGUUAUUUUUUCCUGUGGCUAGAAGCUCCUCUCAUUUAAUAUUGUUUCUUAUUGCCUUCAAUUCAUUUUGCAUGGUCUUUAUUAAUAUUCUUGAUAUGUUGGAAAUUACCACAAUCAUUUUUAAACUUGCAUUCCUUCACAGGUUCUAUUAAAUCAUCUUUAGCUUUAGGACAGUCCUUAUCAAACCAUGGUUUUUACCACUGAAACCACCUAUUCCCAGCAAAGACUCUGUCUUUUGUGAGGGCGUUGUCCAACUGUUGGACACAUUCUUUGUAUCUGAGUCAUUUUUUGGGUUCUUGUACUUUGGGAAUAUGAAUAAGUGGCCCAAGAAAAUGUCUUUGAACAGAGCAACACAUUUUUCAUUAUUCAUUUAAUUUAAUUUCAUUUCAUAAUUCAUUAUCCCAUUGCGUUGUCUUCUUAUUGAUUACUUCUAAUUUUGGGGCUAGUUGUAUGGUUUUAGAAGAAGGAUCUCCCAUAAUGGAAAUCUAGAGAGAAAAAGAAACAGUCACUUUCCAUACAUGGUAAAAUUUCAAAUACUUACUCCAUGUAUAUUAGUUGUUAAUAAACAGUCCACUUGCUCCUUCAGUUGUAACGGAUAUGAAGGCCCCAGACACCAGUUUUAUCUAUGAAGGGCUCUAAAAUUCUCAUCUGCAAUACAUUUCAUGAGGAUCAUCCUCCUUCUUUUAAUUUCUUAUUACAUAAGAUUCCUGGACAGAUUCCCCAUAUUUUAUUUAGGACAUCUUCAUUAUCAUGGGUGUCAGUGCCACCAAUUCUAGUAUUAAAAUCACCUGCUAUUAUUAUUUCUAAUUCUGGGAAUUUAUUUUGGAUCAUCUCAAGAGCAUUAUGUAAUAAUUCCUGUUUCAAGAUUGCACUGGAUCUUGAUGUGAAUGUGGGAAAUGAAAUAAACAUUAAUAAGAAUCAAGGGAGGUCUGCCAUAAAAUUUAAUGAGGACUGCUAGUAGAUAGUUUGAGUCUCUUUCAAUAUCUAAUCCCUCAAUCAGCCUCCUUAUUACCAUCAGUAUAACCUAGCCUCCCUGCAACAAUCUUUUAGUUUUAUCCUUCAAGACAUUUUUAUAAAAUGAAAUAAAUCCAGGAAUGUACACCAUCUUCCCAUACUUUAUCUUUUAUAAAAUCACAAUAUCAAAAUCAUUAAUAAAAAUUCUCCACAAGUCAGAUAAUUUAUUUGACAAGUCAGCCGUGUUCUAUACCAAAAGACCAAUCUCACCUAGGGAUGUAGUAAUUUGCUUCUCCUUAGAAGGAGAGAACUAAGCCUUCUCUCUUUGUAGAAGGCUUAGUUGAACCUCUGAAGGAUUUAAUUUUGUGUACAUAAAUAAUAAUAGUUUUCAAUAGCUGGGGAGAGAUUUUAAAUCUUUUGGCUAAAAGUCAUGCAAUUCUGAGUUUCAUAUAAACAGUUCUGAACUCUUUUAUAUGGAUAAAUAUUGAAUGUUUUGCCUUCUUAGUCUUCAUUUUCUCUCUCUAAUAGAGCUAUGACUAAUAAAAAUAGUAGAAGAAGUUUGGUCAGUCAGAUUCUGAACCUGUCACUUGAUUGAUUGUAAUGAAAUCCUCACUCUUCAAGGUUU